CUAUUUCCUCUUAGAAAUGAUGAAGCUUCUCAGAUGAGGUGAAACAUCUUCAAGAAAUUUAAAGAAGUCCAGAUGCUUUUCUUUCCAAGCUCCUUAGACUAAGAAAAAAAAACACUCGAGCACUGAUAAGAUGGAGCAGCUGUACUCGCUGAGCCUCUGCUCCAGAGAGGACUGCGUCAAGAUCCUCGUCAAAUACCAGUGGAACCUGCAGAUGGCCAGCCGCUAUCUAAUCCGACUGACUGCCAGCGACAGGGCCAGCCCACCUGAGAGGGAUCGGUCUCUGAUCAGCCCGGAAAGAAGGGUCUAAAGAGAUUUGAGGCGGCCACUGUGGCUGACUUUUUCCACACCAUCCUGGUGUAACAGUGACACACUCCAACACUUGGAGCCCCUCGACUACAGGAGCGCUCCCGUGCACAUGGAAGUAGAAAAAUGAAGGUGGACAAAGACAAAACUGACUAAUAUUUUUGAAACAACUUAGAAGAAAGAUGUGACAAGAUGACAUGAUGUGGUUUUAUAUAGCACGUCUUUUGCACAUAGGUUUUCUAUUUUAAUACAUUUGUACAUACUGUAGGAAAAACUUUGUUAAAUAAAACUGAUCUCUAGUGUGUAAAAA